GAUGAACGCUGGCGGCGUGCCUAACACAUGCAAGUCGAGCGGAAGUUGGAGAGCUUGCUCUUCAACUUUAGCGGCGGACGGGUGAGUAACACGUGGGCAACCUGCCCUGCAGAUCGGGAUAACUCCGGGAAACCGGUGCUAAUACCGAAUAGUUUUCGCCACCUCCUGGUGGCGUACGGAAAGACGGUUUCGGCUGUCACUGCAGGAUGGGCCCGCGGCGCAUUAGCUAGUUGGUGGGGUAACGGCCCACCAAGGCGACGAUGCGUAGCCGACCUGAGAGGGUGAUCGGCCACACUGGGACUGAGACACGGCCCAGACUCCUACGGGAGGCAGCAGUAGGGAAUCUUCCGCAACGGACGAAAGUCUGACGGAGCAACGCCGCGUGAGUGACGAAGGUUUUCGGAUCGUAAAACUCUGUUGUGAGGGAAGAACAAGUACCAACUAACUACUGGUACCUUGACGGUACCUCACCAGAAAGCCACGGCUAACUACGUGCCAGCAGCCGCGGUAA
rnacentral:rRNA from 1 species